GAUGAACGCUGGCGGCGUGCCUAAUACAUGCAAGUCGAGCGAACGGACGAGAAGCUUGCUUUUCUGAUGUUAGCGGCGGACGGGUGAGUAACACGUGGAUAACCUACCUAUAAGACUGGGAUAACUUCGGGAAACCGGAGCUAAUACCGGAUAAUAUUUUGAACCGCAUGGUUCAAAAGUGAAAGACGGUCUUGCUGUCACUUAUAGAUGGGUCCGCGCUGCAUUAGCUAGUUGGUAAGGUAACGGCUUACCAAGGCAACGAUGCAUAGCCGACCUGAGAGGGUGAUCGGCCACACUGGAACUGAGACACGGUCCAGACUCCUACGGGAGGCAGCAGUAGGGAAUCUUCCGCAAUGGGCGAAAGCCUGACGGAGCAACGCCGCGUGAGUGAUGAAGGUCUUCGGAUCGUAAAACUCUGUUAUUAGGGAAGAACAUAUGUGUAAGUAACUGUGCACAUCUUGACGGUACCUAAUCAGAAAGCCACGGCUAACUACGUG
rnacentral:rRNA from 1 species